CCUACGGGUGGCAGCAGUGGGGAAUAUUGGACAAUGGGGGGAACCCUGAACCAGCGACGCCGCGUGAGGGAAGAAGUAUUUCUGUAUGUAAAGCUCUAUCAGCAGGGAAGAAAAACAAGACGGUACCUGACUAAGAAGCCCCGGCUAACUACGUGCCAGCAGCCGCGGUAAUACGGAGGGGGCAAGCGUUAUCCGGAUUUACCGGGUGUAAAGGGUGCGUAGACGGGGAUGCAAGUCUGAAGUGAAAGGCGGGGGCUCAACCCCCGGACUGGUUUGGAAACUGUAUGGCUGGAGUGCAGGAGCGGUAAGUGGAAUUCCUAGUGUAGCGGUGAAAUGCGUAGAUAUUAGGAGGAACACCAGUGGCGAAGGCGGCUUACUGGACUGUAACUGACGUUGAGGCUCGAAAGCGUGGGGAGCAAACAGGAUUAGAUACCCGGGUAGUC
rnacentral:rRNA from 1 species